rnacentral:rRNA from 1 species
GGGGAAUUUUGGACAAUGGGCGAAAGCCUGAUCCAGCAAUGCCGCGUGUGUGAAGAAGGCCUUCGGGUUGUAAAGCACUUUUGUCCGGAAAGAAAUCCUUGGCUCUAAUACAGUCGGGGGAUGACGGUACCGGAAGAAUAAGCACCGGCUAACUACGUGCCAGCAGCCGCGGUAAUACGUAGGGUGCAAGCGUUAAUCGGAAUUACUGGGCGUAAAGCGUGCGCAGGCGGUUUGCUAAGACCGAUGUGAAAUCCCCGGGCUCAACCUGGGAACUGCAUUGGUGACUGGCAGGCUAGAGUAUGGCAGAGGGGGGUAGAAUUCCACGUGUAGCAGUGAAAUGCGUAGAGAUGUGGAGGAAUACCGAUGGCGAAGGCAGCCCCCUGGGCCAAUACUGACGCUCAUGCACGAAAGCGUGGGGAGCAAAC